AAAAACAUCUCCCCUUGCAGUUUAUUAUUAGGGGUAGGCCCUGCCCAGUGGAGUAUUUCUAAACGGAAAGGAUAACUUUUAAAGUAGCGUAGUAAUUUGUCCCUUAAUUAGGGUCUGAAUGAAUGGGUUGACGUGGGGAAGCUGUCUUGAAAGAAUUAAUUGAAAUUUUCUUUUUAGUGAAAAGCCUGAGAUAUAAUUAAAAGACGAGAAGACCCCGUCGAGCUUAAGAGAAAAAAAAGAUGUUUCUUUUUUUUCCAGGUUUGUUGGGGUAACAUGGGAGAAUAUAAUCUCCAGUUUUUACAGUAGAUCCACUUGGUGGUGAUAAAAAGAAAAAGUUACCGCGGGGAUAACAGCGCAAGACGGCCAGAGAGUUCUUAUCUAAGGCCGUAAGUGCGACCUCGAUGUUGGAUUAAGGUGAGCUUAGGGGUGCAGUAGCUCUUAAAGCGGGACUGUUCGUCCUUUAAUUCCUUACAUGAUCUGAGU
rnacentral:rRNA from 1 species